GUUAGGAAUAUUGGACAAUGGGCGCAAGCCUGAUCCAGCCAUGCCGCGUGAGUGAUGAAGGCCUUCGGGUUGUAAAGCUCUUUAGUCCACGAAUAUAAUGACUGUAGUGGAAGAAUAAGCCCCGGCUAACUUCGUGCCAGCAGCCGCGGUAAUACGAAGGGGGCGAGCGUGUUUCGGAAUAACUGGGCGUAAAGCGUGCGUAGGCUGUUUUGUAAGUCAGAAGUGAAAGCCCAGCGCUUAACCCUGGAAUUGCGAUUGAAACUACAAGACUCGAAUUCGGGAGAGGAUAGCGGAAUUGUCAGUGUAGCAGUGAAAUGCGUAGAUAUUGACAGGAACACCAGUGGCGCAAGCGGCUAUCUGGACCGAUAUUGACGCUGAGGCACGAAAGCGUGGGGAGCAAACAGGAUUAGAAACCCGAGUAGUCC
rnacentral:rRNA from 1 species